rnacentral:rRNA from 1 species
GAUGAACGCUAGCUACAGGCUUAACACAUGCAAGUCGAGGGGAAACGACAUCGAAAGCUUGCUUUUGAUGGGCGUCGACCGGCGCACGGGUGAGUAACGCGUAUCCAACCUGCCCACCACUUGGGGAUAACCUUGCGAAAGUAAGACUAAUACCCAAUGACAUCCCACGAAGACAUCUGAAUGGGAUUAAAGAUUUAUCGGUGAUGGAUGGGGAUGCGUCUGAUUAG